GUUGACUGGCCUCUGGGGUGUUCCUCCUCGUCUGUGUCUGCAUUGCCGAUGGUUGAUUCUGACAUUUUUGUUUUGCUACGACUGUAAAGCUAACCUGUCCCGCCGCUGAGAUUGAGUAUGGUCACGUGACGAGACUGCACAACUAUGUUUGAUUGGUGAAACACAGUCACGUGGCAGAGCCUUUAGCGGAAGUCUCUCUCUCUGUCAAAAUAAAACAUAGAAAUGAGGCGUGCGCGGGGGGAUAAAAACAAUGACGCGUAGAAUACCAAA